GACAGAGGGUGCAAACGUUGCUCGGAAUUACUGGGCGUAAAGCGCGUGUAGGUGGAUUGGUGUGUCAGAUGUGAAAUCCCUGGGCUCAACCCAGGAACUGCACCUGAAACUACCAGUCUUGAGUGGUGGAGAGGGUCGUGGAAUUCCCAGUGUAGAGGUGAAAUUCGUAGAUAUUGGGAAGAACACCGGUGGCGAAGGCGGCUUACUGGGUCUCUACUGACGCUGAGGCACGAAAGCCAGGGUAGCAAACGGG
rnacentral:rRNA from 1 species